ACACGCUUACAAAUACUCCCUAGUUCUGGAAGCAGUGACAUCUCAGUAGUCUUGAGCACACCUGGCUCUCAGAUCGUGGCUUCUAAAUACCAUUUUCCAUUCAAAGGGGCUAGAACUUCGUGGAGAAACGGUCCGUUCCAGAGCGGGGGCAGGGAGGGCACAAGAUGUGUGCAGACAUCGUGCUGUGACAGAAAGCAAGGGGGUGUUCAAACGAGGUUGGGAAGGGUCAGAGGGACACCGAGGCCGGCGCGCAUGGGCCGCUGACAGACUGGACACAGCAUGAUCAUCAGAACAAGUCACAGCGCGUUGAGGAACACGGGAAGCCAUGUGUUCUCUUCAGUAGGAACACACGAGUGAAUUACAUGCCUGAUGUGAACAGAAGAACACGCAUGUGGCCAGCACCUCACUACGGAAGGCUGACAGGUUGCAAAGGUGGAAGGAACGGCGGCCGUGGAGGAGCCUUUGGGUCGGGCAGUGGGCGCCACGCAAGCCUGCCUCUGUGGCCUUCGGACACAUCCUGGCCACCACCUGAACACAUCCUUGCCUUCUGUUCUAGACACAUCCUGUGCUCUCCUUGCCCCGGCGCUGGACCUGGUGUGUCUCCAAACACCAUCUUAACCAAGUGAUCAAAGUGACCAUGACCAGAAAUGGGACAAAUUCACACCACGGGGCAUCUGAUAAGACGCAGAGAGGAGAGCGUCACCUCACUCAUGGGACGUUCUUGCCAAAGGUCCACACCGAGGGGACCUCAGACGAUCUCCACUCGAAGGAAAUUCUGUCAAAGAAACGUGUCAAGUAAGUUUCCAAAUUUGAAAUGUUUCGAAGCUGAUGAAUAAAGGCAAGCUAAAGACCUCCUUGAAAGCUCGGGGUCCUCUCUGGAACGUGGGCGUCAGCCACCACCUGUUACACGCCACCUAUCAUGAGCGACAGCACGUAACCUCGGGUCUGCGGGCCAGCAGUGUUUCCGAUUUGUCAGGAGGUGCUUUCCAGAUUCAUCCUUGCAAAAAUCUGCCUCUUUUCCUUCUGGUUAAGAGUUUUAAUAAAGUCACCAAGUAUUGUUGUUA